rnacentral:rRNA from 2 species
UGGUGACAGCGGAGGGACAUUAC